AAUCUUAUAGUUUAUAAAAAUUUUAAAUUGCAAAUUUAAAGAAGUAGAUAAAUUUUUUACUAAGAUUU
rnacentral:tRNA from 1 species